UAGGAGUAAGGUGUGCGCGUGUGAACUGAGGUGUGUUAAAAAAAAUCCAUGAACAGUGGUCCGAUGUAGAGCCGUUUGAGCCGCCGGCCGUCCGCGGCGAAUCCAACGGACGGCGGCGACGCCGUAUCCCACCCGAGCGCCGGAACCGCCGCGUCGUCCGCACGCGCGUCAGCCCCUCGUCGGCCGCCGCAUUUCCUCGAUUCGCGAGCGUCGGCGGCGAUAAGCCCGCUUACGCGCGCGCGGGAUGGCGUCAACGCUUUGCUCUCCCCGCCACCACCACCGCUCGUAUAUCUGCCGUCGCCGCCUGCGCCCCUCCCCUCCCAGCCACGCCCGUCCCCGGAGCGGCGCCGGCGGCCCACCAGGAUUGAACACCACGAAAUAUCUUUGUUCCCACCCAAUGUCCACCGGCAGGGGUUCUCCUGUAUCGUGUUCAUCCAUGGAAGCAUCCAAAAGCAAGCCAGGACCGGAACAUCUCAUUGUUCUGGUUCAUGGUAUCAUGGCAAGCCCCAGUGACUGGACAUAUGGGGAAGCAGUGCUGAAAAAGAGGCUUGGUGACAAUUUCUUUAUCUAUGCUAGUUCAUCAAACAUCUACGCCAAAUCUUUUGACGGGAUCAAUGUAGCUGGAAGGAGGUUAGCGAAAGAAGUCUUGGACGUGGUUCAGAAGAUGGCCGGCUUGAAAAAGAUUUCCUUCAUAGCACAUUCUUUGGGUGGUUUGUUUGCUAGAUAUGCUAUUUCUAUACUAUAUUCACAGCAAGCAAAAGAAACAGGAAGUGGUGCUAGUGUCAUGCUGACAAGUGGAGGAUCUGAAAUAUCACGCACUUCAGGAUUAGGUGCCAUUGCUGGGUUGGAGCCAACUAAUUUUAUUACAUUGGCAACCCCACAUCUUGGUGUUAGAGGAAAAAAUCAGCUUCCAUUUCUUCAAGGGCUGUCAAUUCUAGAGAAACUUGCAGCACCUUUGGCGCCCUUCAUUGUCGGACGCACUGGUGCUCAGCUCUUUCUCACUGAUGGUGAACCUACCAAGCCGCCUCUCCUUCUACUAAUGACAUCUGACCAUGAAGACAAAAAGUUCAUAUCUGCACUAGCAGCUUUUAAGAACCGCAUUUUGUAUGCUAAUGUUUCAUAUGACCAUAUGGUUGGUUGGAAAACAUCUUCAAUAAGGAGAGAAUUGGACCUUAGAAAGCCCUUGCGUCGUUCACUUGAUGGCUACAAGUACAUUGUGAAUGUGGAGUACUGUUCGCCUGUGUCGUCCGAUGGUCCCCAUUUUCCUUCGCGGGCUGCCAGAGCCAAGGAAGCUGCACAGAGUACACCGAAUGUGGAAAAUACCGAGGAAUAUCACCAGAUGAUGGAAGGCAAAGGAGAUGAUUCGUGGGUUGCAGAGAGUGGGUUGGAAGAAAGUAGAUGUGAACUUCCAUGCAUCAAUGUGGCCUUACUCUGCUCACAACAACAUGCAUGUUAAGAAUGAGUGGCUUCAUAACGCGGGUGCCGGUGUGAUCGCCCACGUCGCAGACAGCAUGAAACAGACAUGUCUGCCCUCCAGCCUGUGAGAUUUACACCUGGGAUGCUGACUUUCGCCACGGUUAGAUCUACAAGGAAUUAGUGAUACAUUUUGUUGCAGACGGUUCGCAAGUCAGUUGCAGAGGCAGGUGCCGGCACAAACUGGAAAU